UUUGGUCUGAAACCGCGUUUACCAAAGAAGAAUGAAAACGAAUGCUUGCUGUCCGAUUAUUAAAGAUUAAAGAAAGUGGGAAGCUUGUUUAAAGUAGUUUCUAGUUAAUUGCAUUGCAUUCCAUUUCACAUUUUAGAUAAGGCUGGGCUUGUGCUUGGGUUCUACUCUAGUUUGACGCCCUGGAUCUUGUUUUCUCUCCGUAAGUUUCCUCCCAUCCAUACUAUUAAUAUUCCUCGAGCUUUAACUUUACAUAUUUGAUCCCCAUAUCUUGCACAGUUGUAUGUAUAUAUCUAUACACAUAAAGAAAAGUUGAUGAAACACUGAUCACAUAUCUACUCAUAUAAGCUGCUGCUACCGCAGUUGCACACACAGAAAUGAGAAUUGAAGUGUUUUUAGUAGUGUUUUUGUCAUCAAUUGGCGGUGGUAAUAGUGUAUCUAGCAGCAGCUUGAGUCCUGAUGGACAAACCUUAUUGGCACUUGCGGCGCGUUGGACACUUGUUCCUUCUUCCAUCACUACCACCUGGAUUCAUCAUGAUAACAACACUCAAACUCCUUGUUCCUGGGUUGGAGUGGUGUGUAACAAACGCCAAAAUGUGAAAGCCUUGAAUCUAUCCUCUUUUGGAAUUUCUGGUACUUUAGGGCCAGAAUUUGAAUCCCUCUCCUACCUCACCACCAUUGACCUGAGCUUCAACUAUUUUUUCGGAACUAUUCCUCCCCAAUUAGGAAACUGUUCUCUUCUUUACGCGCUAGAUCUCUCGUCUAAUUCCCUUUCAGGACAGAUCCCACCUACUCUAUCCAACUUGAAUCGCCUAGUAUACCUCGCUGCUGAUUCCAACUCUCUCAAUGCUUCCAUACCCGAUUCACUCUUCCAAAUCCGCACCCUCCAAAUUAUUUACUUGUAUGAUAAUAAACUAUCUGGUCCGAUUCCCUCUAGUGUUGGUAACAUGACCGACCUAAUUUACCUCUACUUGGACACAAAUAAUCUCUCUGGAACUAUUCCCUCUUCCAUUGCCAAUUGUACCAAGUUGCAAAAUCUUGUGUUAUCUGCUAACCAACUCAGUGGAACACUGCCAAGCAGUUUUUAUUAUCUACGAGGCCUUGUACUGGUGGAUUUCAACUCGAACAAUAUUCAAGGAAGCAUUCCUUUUGGUUCUGGUAGCAGUUGUAGACUAUUGGAAGUUUUGGAUUUGUCUUUUAAUAGUUUUGCUGGGCUGAUUCCACCACAGUUAGGAAACUGUACUAGUUUAACAAUGUUUUCUGCGGUAAGUUCUGGAAUAACCGGUCAUAUCCCUUCUUCUAUUGGCCAGCUUUCUGUCUUGAACACUCUUGUCCUUUCUCAAAAUCUCUUGUCUGGAAACAUACCACCUCAGCUUGGUCAAUGUAGGUCCUUGAUAGACUUGGAACUAUAUUCCAAUAAACUUGAGGGGGAACUACCAAGUGAAUUAGGAAUGCUAAGUGCAUUGGAGAGGCUUUACCUAUUUGAAAACCAGCUAUCAGGUGAAAUUCCUUUCGGAAUUUGGAAAAUUGAAACCCUUGUUGAACUUCAUUUGUACUCUAACCUUUUUACAGGGGAAAUUCCUCUUCUUGUUACCGAGCUUAAGAAUUUGAGGAACUUUACUAUUUACAACAAUCAGUUUUCUGGUAUUGUACCUCAGGGUCUGGGUAUCAAUAGCAGUCUGGAAGUAGUGGACUUCACAAAUAAUACAUUGACCGGCCAGAUCCCACCAAACCUUUGCUUUAAGAAAAAACUACGGAGAUUGACUUUGGGAUCUAAUUACUUUGAAGGUAGUAUUCCUUCUGAUAUAGGAAGUUGCACUUCUUUAGAAAGACUGAUCCUAGAGCAAAAUAACCUUUCUGGAAUUCUUCCGAAUUUUGUAAAAAAUGCCGGCCUCGUGUACAUUGACUUGAACAAUAAUAGAAUCAGUGGGGAAAUUCCUGCAAGCUUGAGGAACCUGACAAAUAUUACCUCAAUUAACUUCUCCCUAAACAAGCUUACAGGGGUAAUACCCCAGGAGCUGGGAGACCUGAUUCACCUUCAGAGUCUUAAUCUCUCUCAAAAUAAUUUGAAAGGUCCUUUGCCUUCUCAACUGUCAAAUUGCAAAAUGUUGUUACAGUUCGAUGUGAGCUAUAAUCAUUUAAACGGCUCAAUUUCUUCUAGUUUCAAAAACAUGGUAAGGCUGGCAUCUCUCGUUUUAAGUGGAAAUCAGUUUACUAAUGGGCUGCCACCUUUUUUGUUUGAUCUUGAAAGUCUUUUGGAUUUGCAACUUGGUGAAAAUCUAUUAGGUGGAGAAUUUCCUGCAUUGAUAAGAUCUGUUGCAGCAGUACAGGUGUUGAAAGCACUAAAUCUCAGUAGUAAUCGGUUAUCAGGGAACGUUCCUGCAGAAGUGGGAAACUUUUUGACGUUGGAGAUUCUAGAUGUAUCUAGCAACAAUCUAACUGGGACUUUGGACGCCCUUUCAAGCCUCCGAUCUUUAAUCAGUGUCAAUGUCUCAUAUAACUUGUUUACGGGUGCAGUACCAACAACAUUAAUGAAGUUGUUGAGCUCGUCUCCGUCUUCAUUUAUGGGAAAUUUGGGACUUUGUGCCAACUGUCUCCCAAGUGAUAGCUUGACUUGUAAUAUUAGCAGAAACUUAAGGCCUUGUUACAAGAAAUCAAGCGGUCGGAAAGGCAUUGGAAAGGUGCAAAUUGUGGUGAUAGCUCUUGCAACAUCAUUAUUCGCUGUUUUUGCCUUCCUUUUACUGUGUUAUUUGUUUUCACGACGAAGGAUCCUGGAGCAGGAAGCAGUAAUCUCUGCUGAAGAGGGUGCUUCAUCUCUUCUUCAGAAGGUAAUGGAAGCUACUGAGAAUCUGAAUGAGAAGUAUAUUAUUGGGACUGGAGCCCAUGGCACCGUCUACAAGGUUUCAUUGGACCCAGAAAAAGUGUAUGCGGUAAAAAAGCUUACAUUUACAGGAAUGAAUGAGGGACACACGAGCAUGGUUAGAGAAAUUCAGACGAUUGGGAAGGUCAAGCACCGGAAUCUAGUCAAACUGGAACAAUUUUGGUUGAGAAAGGACUAUGGUUUAAUUUUAUAUAGUUACAUGCAAAACGGAAGUCUUCAUGAUGUUCUUCACGUGAGAUGUCCACCAGCAGCCUUAGAUUGGAAUACUCGUUAUCAGAUAGCACUAGGAACUGCUCAUGGUCUAGCAUAUCUCCACUUUGACACAGAUCCUGCCAUUGUGCACCGUGAUAUCAAACCAAUGAACAUUCUUUUGGACUUUGAUAUGGAGCCUCAUAUAUCAGAUUUUGGCAUUGCCAAAAUUCUGGAUCAAUCUUCUGCUUCAAUGCCAACCACUUCAGUCCAGGGAACUAUUGGAUAUAUUGCCCCGGAAAAUGCAUUCACCACAACAAAGAGCAAGGAAUCUGAUGUCUACAGUUAUGGUGUUGUUUUGCUGGAGCUAUUAACUAGAAAAAAGGUCCUGGAUCCGUUGUUUACCGAGGGCCACGACAUAGUAAGCUGGGUUGCAGCUAGUUGGAGUAACACCAAGGAAAUAACAGGGAUCAUAGACCCAGGCCUUUUGAACGAAGUCCUUAGUUCAGGUAUCAUAGAACAAGUGACUGAUGUUCUUUUAGUGGCUUUGAGAUGCACAGAAAAGGAAGCAAGCAAAAGGCUCUCAAUGAGACAAGUAGUAAAGCAAUUAGAAGAUUCAGCCACACUCUAUAGAAAUAGAACCACAAAUAAUGAGCUAUAGACCAUUGGUCCCUGUUGAAAUAUAAGCUUGCAUCUGUCAGUCAAGCAAAGGAACGUUAUGAGAUGCGUCAUCGCUUUCAGGUCUUGAAAUGUGAGUAUGCAGUCCGAGGAGAGAUUGUCCUUCUGGCCCAGAGAUUACAACAAGACCUGCAAGAAAAACCAGGUUCCCACCCUUUCGAUGAGAUCCUCUAUUGCAAUAUUGGAAAUCCUCAAUCUCUUAAUCAGCGUCCCAUUACAUUCUUUAGAGAGGUACGGAUAACUCUUUAUUCUAGAAUGGUUAUCAUUCUAGAGUAACUAUUAUACGAUUCAGCAUUUAUUUUUGUUAGCCCUGUGUUAGGUUCUUGCAAUAUGUGACCAUCCUGCAAUCUUGGACAAAAGUGAAACACAGGGGUUAUUCAGGUUUUUUUUCCUACACUAACCAGUACUGCAAUCUUGCACUACAUGAUGUUUGAAAGUCAGAAAUGCACUUUGCUAUCAUGUGCAGAUGCCAUUAGACGGGCUUCAGAAAUCCUGAAUCAGAUUCCUGCAAGGGCAACAGGAGCGUAUAGUCAUAGCCAAGUACAAUGGCCUAUUUAGAAUUACUAAGAACUUCUACUUUGUAAGCUUUUAUACAUCUCACUGUAUGAUGAAAUUAUCUUUUCUAUUAAAAUCUUACAACAGGGUAUCAAGGGAUUACGUGAUACAAUUGCUGCUGGUAUUGAAGCUCGCGACAGUUUUCCUGCUGACCCGAAUGAUAUU